GACGAACGCUGGCGGCGUGCCUAAUACAUGCAAGUAGAACGCACAGUUUAUACCGUAGCUUGCUACACCAUAGACUGUGAGUUGCGAACGGGUGAGUAACGCGUAGGUAACCUGCCUGGUAGCGGGGGAUAACUAUUGGAAACGAUAGCUAAUACCGCAUAAUAUUAAUUAUUGCAUGAUAAUUAAUUGAAAGGUGCAAUUGCACCACUACCAGAUGGACCUGCGUUGUAUUAGCUAGUAGGUGAGGUAACGGCUCACCUAGGCGACGAUACAUAGCCGACCUGGGAGGGUGAUCGGCCACACUGGGACUGAGACACGGCCCAGACUCCUACGGGAGGCAGCAGUAGGGAAUCUUCGGCAAUGGACGAAAGUCUGACCGAGCAACGCCGCGUGAGUGAAGAAGGGUUUCGGAUCGUAAAGCUCUGUUGUAAGAGAAGAACGGGUGUGAGAGUGGAAAGUUCACACUGUGACGGUAUCUUACCAGAAAGGGGCGGCUAACUACGUG
rnacentral:rRNA from 1 species